UACGUAGGGUGCGAGCGUUAAUCGGAAUUACUGGGCGUAAAGCGUGCGCAGGCGGUUUUGUAAGCCAGAUGUGAAAUCCCCGGGCUUAACCUGGGAAUGGCAUUUGGGACUGCAAGGCUGGAGUGCGGCAGAGGAGACUGGAAUUCCUGGUGUAGCAGUGAAAUGCGUAGAUAUCAGGAGGAACACCGGUGGCGAAGGCGGAUCUCUGGGCCAUUACUGACGCUGAGGAGCGAAAGCGUGGGGAGCGAACAGG
rnacentral:rRNA from 1 species